rnacentral:rRNA from 7 species
GUCUUCGAGUCGUUGAUUUCACACUGCCGAGAAAAGCCUCUAGAUAGAAAAUAGGUGCCCGUACCGCAAACCGACACAGGUAGUCAAGAUGAGAAUUCUAAGGUGAGCGAGCGAACUCUCGUUAAGGAACUCGGCAAAAUGACCCCGUAACUUCGGGAGAAGGGGUGCUCUUUAGGGUUAACGCCCAGAAGAGCCGCAGUGAAUAGGCCCAAGCGACUGUUUAUCAAAAACACAGGUCUCUGCUAAACCGUAAGGUGAUGUAUAGGGGCUGACGCCUGCCCGGUGCUGGAAGGUUAAGAGGAGUGGUUAGCUUCUGCGAAGCUACGAAUCGAAGCCCCAGUAAACGGCGGCCGUAACUAUAACGGUCCUAAGGUAGCGAAAUUCCUUGUCGGGUAAGUUCCGACCCGCACGAAAGGCGUAACGAUUUGGGCACUGUCUCAACGAGAGACUCGGUGAAAUCAUAGUACCUGUGAAGAUGCAGGUUACCCGCGACAGGACGGAAAGACCCCGUGGAGCUUUACUGUAGCCUGAUAUUGAAAUUCGGCACAGCUUGUACAGGAUAGGUAGGAGCCUUUGAAACGUGAGCGCUAGCUUACGUGGAGGCGCUGGUGGGAUACUACCCUAGCUGUGUUGGCUUUCUAACCCGCACCACUUAUCGUGGUGGGAGACAGUGUCAAGCGGGCAGUUUGACUGGGGCGGUCGCCUCCUAAAAGGUAACGGAGGCGCUCAAAGGUUCCCUCAGAAUGGUUGGAAAUCAUUCAUAGAGUGUAAAGGCAUAAGGGAGCUUGACUGCGAGACCUACAAGUCGAGCAGGGUCGAAAGACGGACUUAGUGAUCCGGUGGUUCCGCAUGGAAGGGCCAUCGCUCAACGGAUAAAAGCUACCCCGGGGAUAACAGGCUUAUCUCCCCCAAGAGUUCACAUCGACGGGGAGGUUUGGCACCUCGAUGUCGGCUCAUCGCAUCCUGGGGCUGUAGUCGGUCCCAAGGGUUGGGCUGUUCGCCCAUUAAAGCGGUACGCGAGCUGGGUUCAGAACGUCGUGAGACAGUUCGGUCCCUAUCCGUCGUGGGCGUAGGAAAUUUGAGAGGAGCUGUCCUUAGUACGAGAGGACCGGGAUGGACAUACCUCUGGUGUACCAGUUGUCGUGCCAACGGCAUAGCUGGGUAGCUAUGUGUGGACGGGAUAAGUGCUGAAAGCAUCUAAGCAUGAAGCCCCCCUCAAGAUGAGAUUUCCCAACUUCGGUUAUAAGAUCCCUCAAAGAUGAUGAGGUUAAUAGGUUCGAGGUGGAAGCAUGGUGACAUGUGGAGCUGACGAAUACUAAUCGAUCGAAGACUUAAUCAA